CUUCUAUUCAACACAUUCAGACAGGUCACAUUCCUUCUCACCUUUCCAAUACUGUUUGCAUUUGUAAAUGCUUUUUUUGUGCAAUCAGUCAAAUAAUAUGAUAGCAACGGAUAUUUACCACGCUUUUAGAGAUGUAGAGGUACCUUAACAUUUUUACGUCUGAGAGCAUCUUUAAAAUUUCACGGCAGCCGAAGAUCAAGUUGAUCGGCAUAAGUCGACGAACGAUUAAUUGGCAAUUUUGUAAUUAGAGACUUUAAAAUUAAUCAGUGAUGUGCUUGCGGUAAUUACAGGCUUGAAUUUCAGUUUCAGAUCGAGUAUCGCCGUCGAACAAACUCGAGUGAUUUCGAGAGAGUUGACGGUCGAGAUUCACCGUGAUACCCGCGAUUAAUCAUCAGAGGGCUGCCUGAUAUACACACUUAAAAGUUGCUGGCGAAAGGGGAGAAACGGUAGCCGACUCGGCCGGUCGUCCAACCGACCUUCCGUACCACGGCGCCAUUUUUUUGCGCCAUCCGUUAUAAUUGUCGGGGCCUUGUCACUUUUGCGGGCUUUCGCAGUGAGGUACCUGAUGUGUACGUUGCCCCGUGCCGGUUUUCUUGCACCGAGGCGGCUUCGUCAAAGCGACCAGCAGAACAUAAAGAGAAGUAGACAAUGAGCGGAGGACGAAGGACCAGAAACGAGGUGAACAAUGCCGACUGUCGUAGCAAUUGCGAAGCUUCCUCUCGUUUUGUUUCGAACGAAACGCCGACGCACAAUAUAAUAUUAUAUCUUUUUAUUUUGCUCCCAAGUUUUUAAGAAGAUUUAAGGUUUUAUCGGGAUUAAUUAUAAAUAAGUAAUAAAUAAAAUUGUAAUUUAAUUUUUCAGUAAACAUCAGGAAAUAUCGAUUGUGUUUCUCUAUUAAAUAUCUUCAUUUAAAAAAUAUAGAUAUAUAGAUUUUUUAUAUUUAAUAGUGCCAAAAAUCUCUUAUUGUUAGAUAUAUUAGAUCUCUAUUUAGUUUAUUAAUAUGUCAAUGAGUCCUUUUGGUGUAAAAGGAUUUUACUUUAUUCUGUAUAAAUAUCAAUUUUAAUAUUUAAUUGUAGUUUGACUCUCGCGUUGCAGUUUCAACGAUGCUCUCGUCGGUUUCUCGGGGAGCAGGUAACGCUUAAAAUUCAAAGACGAUCGGCCGGUCAGUGCCGGCAAAAACUCGUGCCUCGCCUGCGUAUUUUACGCCACUUUCUUGCGUGUGUACGCACGCGUAUAGGUAUCUCUCUCUUCUUCUCUGUCUCUUUCUUUCUCUUUUCAGUUCCCGCGGCCUCUGCUCAAGGACUGCUGCCGCCCGCGGAUGGCCCCACGAGAAAGCGCCGACGAGAGAAGUCCGAGAGACGCGUAUCGUAAUACGGUAGCCGUUGCCCUCGCCGAAAUUACACCGGUAUUGGCUCCUGGUUACCAGCGUACGGAAGCAUCGAGCCAAUCUAUCGACGGAGGGGGGCAAGAGAUGAAAGACGAAGCGUAAGAGAUAAAGUGGUCUCGUGAAACGUUGUUACGAAAGAACGUGGGCAGCGCCGGUAGAAAAUGGCGUGGGCCGUGACUGUCCGAGACCAGGUGAAACGUGUUUGUACAAGAUAGGAACUGAUAAGCCAUCACUGAGGCUCAACGAAAGGGUACGGACAUGCUGGUCACUGUAACUUAAAGUCGAUCAAGAAAAAUAAAAUGAUGCAUAAAAAGAUUUGCAAUUUGCUUGAAAAAAACUAAUCUCCUUUGUCUUAUGUUAAAUUAUGUUGAUCUUUUCUGUCGACGUUAGAAAAUUAUUUUCUUUUGUUUUUAAUCUAAUUUCAAUCUUUAUUUUAAGAUAAUUCCUUAAUACGAGUAAAGUUUAAAGUCACGAAAAUUCAACGGACAGUUAAUGAUUCCUUUGUAU